rnacentral:rRNA from 1 species
UACCAGCUCUCCGAGUGGUAGGGAUGAUUAUUGGGCUUAAAGCGUCCGUAGCCGGCUUAGCAAGUCUCCUGUUAAAUUCAGCGACCUAAUCGUUGAGCCGCGGGAGAUACUACUAGGCUAGGAGGCGGGAGAGGCCGACGGUAUUUCCGGGGUAGGGGUGAAAUCCUAUAAUCCCGGGAAGACCACCAGUGGCGAAGGCUGUCGGCUAGAACGCGCCCGACGGUGAGGGAUGAAAGCUGGGGGAGCGAACCGGAUUAGAUACCCGGGUAGUCCCAGCUGUAAACGAUGCAGGCUAGGUGUUGGGGUGGCUACGGGCCACUUCAGUGCCGCAGGAAAGCCAUUAAGCCCGCCGCCUGGGGAGUACGGCCGCAAGGCUGAAACUUAAAGGAAUUGGCGGGGGAGCACCACAAGGCGUGAAGCUUGCGGUUC